rnacentral:lncRNA from 1 species
CACAACUGGAAUACACAACUAUGUACUGGGGGGCUUUAGGGAGAAGAAGAAGAAGAAAAAAGGAAGACUGGCAACAGAUGUUAGCUCAGGUGCCAAUCUUUAAAAAAAAUAAAAAAGAAUUGCGUUUCAGAAAAUCUGCAGAGUCGCGGAGCCAGAGCAUGUGCAAAAGAAGAAAUCGUGACUUGACCAUGGAACCAAAGAUCCUCCUUCCCACAGAACCCGAGGACGGGGACACAGCUGGGACUGGAAAGGCAAGGAGGAAUUCAUAAUAAUCUUUAGGCUCCAGGAUCUGCUCCGUUUCCCAAGGCUGACUGUCGUGUUGACAACCAAUGUGGUUCGCUUUUCUCUGCUCUACAAACCAAGGUCAAUCGUCCCAAACUCUGUGCAUCCCAAGCUGCUCCCUGGAUGGGCCCCCGCAGGCUGCUGCUUGCUAAGACUUCAUGGUUGUGUAACAAGCUUGGGCUGAAGACAGUGCUGAGGGGAGCUUUCCUGGCCCCAGAGCCAUCUAGGAGCUACUUCAGGAGCUGCAGUGUCCUUGCCAAAGCUGUCCUGUUUGUUCAUGCUGUGAGCUGGAUCCUGUCGCAUUGGAGUAUAUUCUAUUCAAGUUCGUGAAAGGACCACACUUGAUGGCCUCAUCGUCUCUCCCCUGGGUUAUUGCAGUGGCCUCCUGAGUGGUCCUCUCCCGUCUAGCCUUAUUCCCACACAGCGCAAAGAGUGCGCUUUUCCAGUCUCCACCACAUCAUGGAAUUCUUUUGCUGGAAACCCUCCAGGGCUCCUCUACUCAAAAGCUAAAUCCAAGAUGUUACAAAUGGCUAGGACCGCCCCCCCCCCCCCAGUCCCACUGUGCCCCUUCCCCUUUCCAACCACACUCUCCUCUCCUGCCACUCCAGGCUCCCCCACCUGAGUCCCACAGGGCUCCCCGCUACCCUGGGCCUCGCCCUUGCCGGUUCCUCUGGUGCCAGUGCUGUCCCCUGGGAUCUGCACGGCUGCUUCAGCAUUUCCUGUCUCUGCUCACACAUCGCCAUAUCUGUGAGAUCUUCCUUAACCCCCUCCAGAAAAUAGCACCCGGCUCUUACCAGCCUAGGACUCUCUAUCCUCCUUAGUCUAUUUGAUUUUCUCCAUAGCACUUAUCAUCAUCUGAUAUGUAUCUGCAAUAUAUAAUAUAUAACAUAUAGCUGUUAUGACACUAAGAUUUCAUGGAGGGGUCAGCCUGUGACUGAGUGAUU